UUAGCAUUAAAAGGUCUUCAACCGUCGUCACUUUCUGUUAUGUAAUCUCAACAUCUUUUGUGAUACGGUGCUGAUUUUGUAACCUUGACUUUUAGUUCAGUCAUACUUUACUGUACAUAUUUUUCAAAAACCUCUUUUAACGAGCUGUCCUUGCUUUCCUUGUACUUUGUUCAUAUUUGCAGAUAUAAAGAUAAAAAAAAAAACUCUGUAAUCAUUAUAUUUUAUCCAAAUGUAAACAAACAAGGGGUCUAUGUGUUGACAUUAAAUGAUGUUUCGGAAGUGAAAUUAACUUUACUGAUUUAAUAUUCUCAGUGAUAAACAGAUUUUUUUUUUCUGUGUUGUGUCAGCUAUUAAGCUAGCAAUGUAAACAGAGUUGGCAGCAGAUUAGGAUCAAGCAUAACACUUAACAUUUCAUUUCUGUAUGAGAAUCUGAAUACAUUUGUCAGUGGCAUAUUUUGCACUGCUGUAACUUUACAACAGGACUUGUAGAAGAAAGUAGAAAUGUACAAACUUUUACGCUCAUUAAAUUGAAACUACAUUGUCAUUUCAAUUUCAUUCAUAAUUUUGGCCUAUAGCUUCAAUAAAAGCUAAUUUUCAUUUAAAUAAGAUGCCCAGAAAGCUGCAGAAGAAGAAAUGUUAGCUGGAGCUUUGCCAAAUAAGGAGAACUGUGGCUUUCCUGCAACUUUUUACCUUAGUGUCCUGUUUAUCACACAUAAUAAAAAGCAUUUACUGUCUGGUUGUGGUGCUCUUUGUGAUAGGGCAGCAUUUUUUCUUUUUUUUUUCUUUUUUUUUUACUUCAACUUCUUAACACAUUGGCUUUUUCUCAAAACGAACCCAACAACAGCAGUGCAUUUUGUGAUGAAAUAAAUUGUGCCGUCCUUAUAGCAAAUUUGGUUUUCCACUUGCUGUGGAGGGUGAAGCAGCGCACAGUUAGAUUAAGACUUGCUCGUUUAUCAAGGCAGUUCAUAAAUAUGUAAGCUAUAGUUUAGAUGUGUAAAAUGUGUUAAUUUCAUUUGGUUUAAGUGUUUGUGUAUAGGCAAAUGUUUGUCAUGCUGAGGGCAAACUGCAGUUUCUGUUUGUAGAGUUCAAAAAACUGUUGUUGAUUCAUUCUGAUGAUAUCGUAUUUUUGUGUCUGUAAAUUCAAACUGGGUCCUUAUGCUGCUAAUGUCAUUUGAAGUUUAAACUGGUGUUAGGCAGCCAUUCUUCCAUAGCAUGAACAACAGUAAUAUUCUAAGGCAGUUUUGGACUAGUAAUAUUAGUUUUUGAAUUAUUGUUAGUUUUAGAAAUUUCAG
ensembl:lncRNA